rnacentral:rRNA from 1 species
AAUCAACGCUGGCGGCGUGCCUAACACAUGCAAGUCGAACGAGAAAGGGGACUUCGGUCCCUGAGUACAGUGGCGCACGGGUGAGUAACACGUGACUUAUCUACCCUCGAGUGGGGAAUAACUUCGGGAAACCGAGGCUAAUACCGCAUAAUACCCACGGGUCAAAGGAGCAAUUCGCUUGAGGAGGGGUAGGUCGGCCGGCCGUAGUUAGUUAGGUUGGGACGGGUAGUCCGCCCCCACGAAGUCGGUGCGUCGUCGCCGCUGGAGGGCGCACGGACACACUGGAACUGAAACACGGUCCAGACUCCUACGGGAGGCAGCAGUGGGGAAUUUUGCGCAAUGGGGGAAACCCUGACGCAGCAACGCCGCGUGGAGGAUGAAGUCUCUUGGGACGUAAACUCCUUUCGAUCGGGACGAUUAUGACGGUACCGGAAGAAGAAGCCCCGGCUAACUUCGUG